AAUACAUGCCGGGCUUUUUCAAGUCUGGCAAUUGGAAUGAGAACAAUUUAAAUCCCUUAACGAGGAUCAAUUGAAGGGCAAGUCUGGUGCCAGCAGCCGCGGUAAUUCCAGCUUCAAUAGCGUAUAUUAAAGUUGUUGCAGUUAAAAAGCUCGUAGUUGGAUUUCUGKUUUAAGUUUACGGUCUUUGCUUAGCAUUGUACUAGUGAAUUUGAUUCAUAUUUUGUGAGUGUCCUAGACUGGCAUUAAGUUGUUGGUUUAGGAAUCUUGCAUCGUUUACUGUGAAAAAAUUAGAGUGUUUCAAGCAGGCGUUUGCUUUGAAUACAUUAGCAUGGAAUAAUAGGAUACGACUCGCGUGGUCUAUUUUGUUGGUUUGCACACGCAAGUAAUGAUUAAUAGGGACAGUUGGGGGUAUUCAUAUUUGAGCGUCAGAGGUGAAAUUCUUGGAUCGCUGAAAGAUGAGCUUAGGCGAAAGCAUUUAUCAUGGAUGUUUUCAUUAAUCAAGAACGAAAGUUAGGGGAUCGAAGAUGAUUAGAUACCAUCGUAGUCUUAACCAUAAACUAUGCCGACUCGGGAUUGGCAGUCGUUUUUAAUGACCUUGUCAGCACCGUAUGAGAAAUCAAAGUCUUUGGGUUCCGGGGGGUAGUAUGAU
rnacentral:rRNA from 1 species